ACGGCCGUACCAUGCUGAACGGCCAUACCAUGUUCUCGUUAGAUCACCGAAGUCAAGUAUCAUCGGGCGCGGUCAGUACUUGGGUGGGUGACCACCUGGGAACACUGCGUGCCGUU